rnacentral:rRNA from 1 species
GUGGUUAUAGAUGGGCUCACGGCCUAUCAGCUUGUUGGUGAGGUAAUGGCUCACCAAGGCGACGACGGGUAGCCGGCCUGAGAGGGUGACCGGCCACACUGGGACUGAGACACGGCCCAGACUCCUACGGGAGGCAGCAGUGGGGAAUAUUGGACAAUGGGCGAAAGCCUAAUCCAGCAAUACCGCGUGUGUGAAGAAG